AUCAUCGAAGUCCGCGCCCCGACCUUGUCAUCCUCGGCACCCCGACGCCGCCCUACGCCGGCCCCGUGCGCCGCCACCACGACCUCGUCCCCGGCGCCGCGCCCCGACGUCGCCCUGCACCGGCCACGACCACCAUGGGUGCACUCUUGGUACCAAGAUCUAGGUGUACGACUCAUUAAGGCAAGAUAAAUCAAAGUACCAAGAUCUCAUCGAGGUGAUAAAUACUGUAUGGAGUCGCUACCUCCGCAAACACAUAGGCUUGAAAGGUGAAAUCGAGCCUCUUCGUUGGCUGACCGAUUUUCCGUGUUGGAGACAGGAGCUAGGAAACAACUUAUGUGGAUACUACGUAUGCGAGUG